rnacentral:lncRNA from 1 species
UACAUUUCUCUCCAAUGGAAGCUACAAAAAAGGCAUAAACAACAAAUCAUAAUCAUUAGCAGAGCGAAGUUAACAAUUUGUGUUAUGCAGUGCAAAAAUCCACAUCCUCAAACUCUGCUGAAAUUUCAGUUAGGCCAUUGCAAAGAAGAAAGUAAACUCUGAAAUUGUGUACUUGAUUUUGAAUGAGCGACUGUGAGGUGAAAUCAAAAUUCGAUGGUUUUGUGCACGAUUUUGAAUGAGC